AAGCCGUAACAAGGUCUCCGUUGGUGAACCAGCGGAGGGAUCAUUACCAGAGUGCCCUAGGCUCUCCAACCCAUUGUGAACUUACCAAACGUUCCCUCGGCGGGCUCAGCGCGCGGUGGCCUCCGGGCCUCCGGGCGUCCGCCGGGGAAAACCAAACCCUGAUUUAAUCGUAUUUCUCUGAGGGGCGAAAGCCCGAAAACAAAAUGAAUCAAAACUUUCAACAACGGAUCUCUUGGCUCUGGCAUCGAUGAAGAACGCAGCGAAAUGCGAUAAGUAAUGUGAAUUGCAGAAUUCAGUGAAUCAUCGAACCUUUGAACGCACAUUGCGCCCGCCGGCACUCCGGCGGGCAUGCCUGUCCGAGCGUCAUUUCAACCCUCAGGCCCACCCUUCCGGGGGAGCGGGCCUGGUGCUGGGGAUCGGCGGCCCUCGAGGCCCCCGUCCCUCAAAUUCAGUGGCGGUCGCGCCGCAGCCUCCCCUGCGUAGUAGCACAACCUCGCACCGGAGAGCGGAACGACCACGCCGUGAAACCCCCAAUUUUUUAAGGUUGACCUCGGAUCAGGUAGGAAUACCCGCUGAACUUAAGCAUAUCAAUAAGCGGAGGAAAAGAAACCAACAGGGAUUGCCUCAGUAACGGCGAGUGAAGCGGCAACAGCUCAAAUUUGAAAUCUGGCCUCACGGUCCGAGUUGUAAUUUGUAGAGGAUGCUUUUGGCGAGGUGCUUUCCGAGUUCCCUGGAACGGGACGCCAUAGAGGGUGAGAGCCCCGUACGGUAAGACCACCGAGCCUCUGUAAAGCUCCUUCGACGAGUCGAGUAGUUUGGGAAUGCUGCUCUAAAUGGGAGGUGUACGUCUUCUAAAGCUAAAUACCGGCCAGAGACCGAUAGCGCACAAGUAGAGUGAUCGAAAGAUGAAAAGUACUCUGAAGGGAGAGUUAAAUAGCACGUGAAAUUGUUGAAGGGGAAGCGUUUAUGACCAGACUUGGGGCCGGCCGAUCAUCCAGCGUUCUCGCUGGUGCACUCGGCCGGUCUUAGGCCAGCAUCAGUUUGCGCCGGGGGAUAAAGGCUUCGGGAAUGUGGCUCCCUCGGGAGUGUUAUAGACCGUUGUGUAAUACCCUGGUGCAGACUGAGGAACGCGCUUCGGCUCGGAUGCUGGCGUAAUGGUCAUCAACGACC
rnacentral:rRNA from 1 species